UGACUUAUGAGUACAUUUAUUCAGUUUUGUAGGAGAUAGGUAUAGUAAACCACAUCGUUUAUGGUUAUUAAUGUGACAGCAGCCCAUUUAUACCCCAGUACUUUUACAUAUGACAUGUCUUAACUAUAAAUUUUUCAUAAUAACUCUGAUUAUUUAUGCAGAAAAUCCUCAUACUUAUAGUCACGGUCGAUAUGUUGAUUAUUACGGUAUUAUGCAAUAUAUCAACCAAUCUUCUGUGCACAAAUCCGAUGUAACAUCUUCCAAUCAGAUGUAUUUCAUUUACGUCACCAUUGACUUAUAGCACGCUGAAUCUUUCUCACUGCACAAAAGCAACUAUCAAGAAUUCAUUAUAGAUACCUGGCUGGCCAGCCUUCGUUUUCACUCACUGCCAACCUACCACAGCUGGACCUGUGCCUCUGCCUACCCAAAGGCCAGAGGACGGCUGGCGAUCGAUCCCGGCCGCGCAGAGGAAUUUCUCAGAGCCGGCCGGUCCGGUCCAGUCCCCACGCGGCCGAUUCACAAUCUCCGUCUCGUCUCCC
rnacentral:lncRNA from 1 species